CAAGUCGAACGGCACCCCUCUCCGGAGGGAAGCGAGUGGCGAACGGCUGAGUAACACGUGGAGAACCUGCCCCCUCCCCCCGGGAUAGCCGCCCGAAAGGACGGGUAAUACCGGAUACCCCCGGGCGCCGCAUGGCGCCCGGGGCUAAAGCCCCGACGGGAGGGGAUGGCUCCGCGGCCCCAUCAGGUAGACGGCGGGGUGACGGCCCACCGUGCCGACAACGGGUAGCCGGGUUGAGAGACCGACCGGCCAGAUUGGGACUGAGACACGGCCCAGACUCCUACGGGAGGCAGCAUG
rnacentral:rRNA from 1 species